UGUACCACUCGGGACCGCGGCCACUCAGCAUCUCGACUGGAUCACGGAGGUGGCCAAUCAUAAGCGGGCUUCUGGCUGCCCAUAGCUAAUCAGGAUUGAAAGAGGCGAGUGCCUGGAAAUGGGACGAUCGGCAAGGUAUGUGAACAGCUGAAGGAACAAGAAGAAUAAUUUCAGCACAGUGCUAUGGUUACUGGACCGACAACACAGCUGGAUGUGAGGCUGUCUGGUCGAGGACGGGAGGAGGGGGCUGAGACCCAUCUCAGGACCUGGACUUGGAUGCAGUGUGCCAGGAAGGGUGUCCAGAGGACUCACCAGGUGCUGUCUACCAAAAUUAGAGGCAACUCACUACUUGAAGACAGGACGCUCACCACGCAAAGAACGACAAUCAGAAGCUCCAGGGAAGAAAGCUGGAGCUGGGGAGGGGAGGGACGAAAGCUGAACUUUGGUAUCUUUCAAGACUGUUGGAAUUCUUUUCACCUAUUUUAUCAUGUGCACCCAUUUUUUCCUUAAUAAAAAUGUUGACAACCAUUUAAAAA